ACACGUAGGGGGCGAGCGUUGUCCGGAAUUACUGGGCGUAAAGGGCGUGUAGGCGGUUUUGCAAGUCAGCUGUGAAACCCCCGGGCUCAACCCGGGGCUUGCAGUUGAGACUGCGGGGCUUGAGUGCAGGAGAGGAGAGUGGAAUUCCUAGUGUAGCGGUGAUAUGCGUAGAUAUUAGGAGGAACACCAGUGGCGAAGGCGGCUCUCUGGACUGCAACUGACGCUGAGGCGCGAAAGCGUGGGGAGCAAACAGGAUUAGAUACCCUGGUAGUCCACGCUGUAAACGAUGGGUACUAGGUGUAGGGGGUUUAGAUACCUUCUGUGCCGCAGCAAACGCAUUAAGUACCCCGCCUGGGGACUACGGCCGCAAGGUUGAA
rnacentral:rRNA from 1 species